rnacentral:rRNA from 1 species
UACGAAGGGGGCUAGCGUUGCUCGGAAUUACUGGGCGUAAAGCGCACGUAGGCGGCUUUCUAAGUCGGGGGUGAAAUCCUGGAGCUCAACUCUAGAACUGCCUUCGAUACUGGAGAGCUUGAGUCCGGGAGAGGUGAGUGGAACUGCGAGUGUAGAGGUGAAAUUCGUAGAUAUUCGCAAGAACACCAGUGGCGAAGGCGGCUCACUGGCCCGAUACUGACGCUGAGGCACGAAAGCGUGGGGAGCAAACAGG